rnacentral:tRNA from 1 species
GGAGAGGUGCCAGAGUGGUCGAAUGGGCCGCACUCGAAAUGCGGUGUGCUCGAAAGGGUACCCAGGGUUCGAAUCCCUGCCUCUCCGCCA